GAAGUUGGCCAGCCCCACCCCCCCAAGCUAUAGCCCACACGUUUUUGUGGCCUUUUUCCGCUGGACGAACUUGGCGCACCGGCCUUCGGGCGGUUAUUUUUGGGCGUGGCUGUGCCCACGGCCUAUUUUUUGCACACGGAGGCCGCUCGUAAAGUCUCGCACCAUUCCGAGUCCGGCGGACGAAGUUGGGCAGCCCCACCCCCCAAGGCUAUAGCCCACCCGUUUUUGUGGCCUUUUUCCGCUGGACGAACUUGGCGCCCCGGCCUUCGGACGGUUAUUUUUGGGUGCGGCUGUGCCCGCGGCCUAUUUUUGGCACACGGAGGCUGCUCGCAAAUUGUCGCGCCAUUCCGAGUCCGGCGGACGAAGUUGGCCAGCCCCAUCCCCCAAGGGUAUAGCCCACCCGUUUUUGUGGCUUUUUUUCGCUGGAGGAACUUGGCGCCCCGGCCUUCGGGCGGUUAUUUUUGGGGACGGCUGUGCCCGCGGCCUAUUUUUGGCACACGGAGGCGUCUCGCAAAGUCUCGCGCCAUUCCGAGUCCGGCGGACGAAGUUGGCCAGCCCCACCCCCCCAAGCUAUAGCCCACCCGUUUUUGUGGCCUUUUUCCGCUGGACGAACUUGGCGCACCGGCCUUCGGGCGGUUAUUUUUGGGCGUGGCUGUGCCCACGGCCUAUUUUUUGCACACGGAGGCCGCUCGUAAAGUCUCGCGCCAUUCCGAGUCCGGCGGACGAAGUUGGCCAGCCCCACCCCCCAAGGCUAUAGCCCACCCGUUUUUGUCGGCUUUUUCCGCUGGACGAACUUGGCGCCCCGGCCUUCGGGUGGUUAUUUUUGGACACGGCUUUGCCCACGGCCUAUUUUUGCCACACGGAGGUGCCUCGCAAAGUCUCGCGCCAUUCCGAGUCCGGCGGACGAAGUUGGCCAGCCCCACCCCCCA
rnacentral:lncRNA from 1 species